rnacentral:rRNA from 1 species
UUCCGGUUGAUCCUGCCGGAGGCCACUGCUAUUGGGAUUCGACUAAGCCAUGCGAGUCGUGAGGGUUCGGCCCUCGGCUGACGGCUCAGUAACACGUGGAUAAUCUACCCUUAGAUGGAGGAUACCCUCGGGAAACUGAGAAUAAUACUCCGUAGAUCUAGGAUGCUGGAAUGCACUUAGAUUCAUAGCUUCACGGCGUCUAAGGAUGAGUCUGCGGACUAUCAGGUAGUAGUCAGGGUAAUGACCUGACUAGCCUACGACGGAUACGGGUUGUGAGAGCAAUAACCCGGAGAUGAUAUCUGAGACACGAUAUCAGGCCCUACGGGGCGCAGCAGGCGCGAAAACUUCGCACUGUGCGAAAGCACGACGAGGGAAUCCCAAGUGCUGGCUCGUUAGAGUCAGCUGUUUCUCUGUCUAAAAAACAGAGAGAGUAAGGGCUGGGUAAGACGGGUGCCAGCCGCCGCGGUAAUACCUGCAGCCCAAGUGGUGGUCUGUAUUAUUGGGCCUAAAACGUCCGUAGCCGGUUCUGUAAAUGCCUGGGUAAAUCGUGUAGCUUAACUAUACGAAUUCCGGGUAGACUGCAGGACUUGAGAUCGGGAGAAGCUAGAGGUACUCCGGGGGUAGAGGUGAAAUUCUGUAAUCCUCGGGGGACCACCAGUGGCGAAGGCGUCUAGCUAGAACGAGUCUGACGGUCUGGGACGAAGCCCUGGGGCGCAAACGGGAUUAGAUACCCCGGUAGUCCAGGGUGUAAACGCUGCUCGCUUGAUGUUAGCUGGGCUCCGAGCCCAGCUAGUGUCGGAGAGAAGUUGUUAAGCGAGCUGCCUGGGAAGUACGGUCGCAAGACUGAAACUUAAAGGAAUUGGCGGGGGAGCACCGCAACGGGUGGAGCGUGCGGUUUAAUUGGAUUCAACGCCGGA